AGAAGAGAGGGCACCUGACACAAUGUGGCCCCGAGAGUGGAGGCCUGCUGCACAGGCCACUGCCGGAGCAGAGCGUGGGAGUGCGGUAGGGAAACGAGAGCUCUCUCUUCCCCGCUCUGUGCUCUGGAGGUCCGCCUCAGAGAUGAGUCAGGUCCCAGCCUCAUUGCGGGGUUAGCUGUGGGCUGUCAGGCUGUUUCUGUGAGCCACUUGGUGGAAGUCACCUUGGCUGGCGGAGGAAGGGCAGUUGCCCUCCUGUGGGAAAGACAGGAAAUGAUUUCCACGUCGCUCCUAGGGUAGUCCUCGGUGUGGCACACUGGCCUCUGAUUGGAUGCGCCUGGCUCCAGAGCGGUUUCUGUGGAGAUGCUGAGCCAGGCAAGUGGCUAUUGCUCCGACACAGUGAGUUGGUUGCUAGGGGAGGGUAAAGGAGGCAGAGAGUUGAGUGUCAUGUCCCCUAAACAUGUCACCAUCAACUACCAUUGCUUCCUUCCACCGGGAGAUUGCAGAGGGAGUUUUUGUUGUUGUUGUCGACUUGCUAAGCUGACAAUCACGUUGCAUUUCAAGCUUAAUUUUCCCCUUGAUUGACGCCUUUCCUGGGCUCUAACUUAAACACCAGUCACCUGACCUUCUCGCUGCUCAGUUCUUUUAAUUAAAAGAUGGUUCCAAGC
rnacentral:lncRNA from 1 species